rnacentral:rRNA from 1 species
AUGACUUGCCAUGUCUUGAGUGCAACAAUGCUUAUAGUGUUGCUCAUAAGAUUGCCCCCCAUAGCACUCUCACAUAUGUUUGGAGAUUUUGACAUAUUCCUUGUGAAGCAUGCUUGUCUUACCUCUUUGCACCAUAUACCUAGUGCCUUGAAUAUCGCCAUUGUUGCAUCAUAUUAUUCAUGCACUUGUGCUUCUAAUGGUUAUGUGCAAGAGAAGAGAACCAUCAUGAUGGAUGAUGUGUUUAUCUACCAUGCGCAUACACUCUUUGUUUUGUUGUGUGCAUGUGUAGGAUACUUGGACUUCGUGUCGACUUCCACUUCAUAUGAGUUGACCAUUCGAGCUCUUGAGAGCGAGCCUCAUACAUUCGACCAUGACUCGCUUCUACACCACAUUUCCUACCACUUCGACAUUGUGAAGAACGCACAAUGA